GUGGGGAGUGAACUUGGCCACGGUUGUCAAGAUCGUAAAGAAGAUUACAGUACUUGACGGAAGAGGGAGAGCAAUCCGUUUGCAAAUUAAGAAAAGAGGUUUCAAUUGAUUGAUUUGUUUCUUUUUUGUUGGGGGAGGGAAUGAUCUACCAUAAUGGUCGAAAUGAUGAUAGGAAGUAUGUCUGGCCAUAUUCAGUAAAAAUACCUGUGAUAAUCUGGCUAUACGUGGUAGGGUUCC
rnacentral:lncRNA from 1 species